rnacentral:lncRNA from 1 species
CGUCUUGUGACCGUAGCGUACGUGUAGGUAUGUACGGCAGGACCAAAUCGGAAAGAUAGGUAGGAGGAUAAAAUUGUCUUAUCUCUCCAAUACAAUCUCUUCAGGACACCAUGCACUUCAGCCCAUACAUAAGCAGAACCCCAUUGAGUGGGACAGAUAAUAUGGAGUGUGUGUAAGGGAGUUCUACAAAGUUGCCUGCAGCAAAGAAAGACUGCAUCCCAAAUGGCACCCUAUUCCCUAUAUAGUGCACCCCUUGUGCCAUUUGGGACGCAAUCAGAGUGAUGUGUCCAAGGCCCAUAGAGCGGUAGCAUAGGGUUGGUUGAGUGAUGAAGCACUGUGGAGGGGUGGGUGGGCUGGUCUGGUCCCCCUUCUCUGGAGCCCCUGUCCCCAUGCAUCUGGCAGGAGAGGAAUGUGCUGGUCAUUCAUGACUGGAGAGGGUAGAGAGGAGAGGAUAGAGGGAGAAAAUAGAGGAUAGAGGGAGAGGGGAGAGAGGAGAGGAUAGAGGGAGAAAAUAGAGGAUAGAGAGAGGGGAGAGAGGAGAGGGGGGAGGGAGAAAAUAGAGGAUAGAGAGAGGGGAGAGAGGAGAGGGGAGAGCUGGGCUGCAUUCCAAAUGGCACCCUAUUUAUUAUACAGUGCAUCCAUUUUGACCAUAGCCCUAUGGGCCCAGGUCAAAAAUAGUGCACUAUAUAGAUGUAGCCCUCAUUUCUCCCAGCGCAGGAUUGGGGGGGGUUAUGGGGGGGUGCAUUGUUCGGUCACCCUUUUGUCCCUCAGAUAGCAUAUGAAUGGGGUGCAAGGAGAGGAGAGCAAUGGUGGUGGUGGGGGUGUCUUAUCAGAAGAAGUGAAAAGAAAACAUCUGUGUGUUUUGGAUUAGACCCUGUCUGGGUGGGCUUCACCCCUCUGUUCCCUCUCACAUAGAUUUGGAUUGUGUCCCAAAUGGCCCCCUAUUCCAUAUUUAGAGCAUUAGGGCACAUUAACUUUUCAUCCGUGAUCGUCCACAGCCGCCUGGUCUCCUGCAGGUCUUAAAUGUCUCAGUGUCUGCCUUGAACACGAAAAGUCAAUUUUCGGAGGUUGUGACGAGGUUCGGGAAAAAAAUAUCUCUUUCCAAUUCAACAUUCACAAGGUCAAAGGUCAGAGGUUAGAGGGGCCAGGUUGGUUAAAUUGGGUCUGCUUUAUUUUGGGAUAAUGCAUACCCGACUGGGUGAUGGCUUUGUGGUCUGGCACAAUUUUUUUUUAUCAUUGACAGGAAUAACAUGUAAGUCUGCAGCGGCCGGCCCAGCUGAACCGCUCUCUAUAAAUAUUGAACACAGGGAGAGAGAGGAGAGGGGAUAAGGCUGGGCCCUGGCCUGGAUCACAGCUGAUAAGCUAAAAAGAAUUACACUUGGACUUGAGAGCCCCGAGUACAAUGCAUGAGUUACAGAAGGAAACGGUAUACUCUCUAUGCAGGGGAGCAAACAACAUCAAGCAUUCUCUGAUCAAAUCUUCAAAAAGGAGCUGUUUCAUAAUCAAAUCAAAU